AAGCAGCUUAGAAGAUCAUGCCGUAAUGCCCACAUCGAUCCAGCCAAAGAGGAUUGUCAGAAGAAAAAGCCUUGUUGAAAAGCUUUGAGAGGAACCAGAAUCAGCCAAUCCUUCUCUGUGCUGUUCCUGAAGUUCUGUUCCUGACUGAAUUGCAGUGAGAAAGACAGGGACACCGGCAUGGAUCAAACCAGCAGUCGGCUGUCGUCCCAGCGAGGGCUCCAGUGUCUGUCUGGAUGCCACAUGAGGGUCUCAAAUCACAGACGCCCCUCCAGACUGACAUUCCACCAUGACGACUACGCAGCC